rnacentral:lncRNA from 1 species
CUUAGCUCAGGGAACUUGAUGAUGCCAUCUCUGGUGAGUGCAUCUCCUUCUACACUGUAAAAUAUUUGCUUUAAAUUAUGAGCUUUAAAAAUCCGCAUCUCUUCCAGGUUCAGAAGGCUUGGAGACACAGAGACAGGGAGGACAUAUUCCAGUUUUCCACAGUCUUCUAGGAAAAUAGAUUUUAAUUUUGGGAAGCCAGGAGACUGUGGAAUUAUUUCCCUUUCACCAUCUUCUUCUCUGAUAAUAUGCUUCAAUUUACCGCAAUUUCUUAUGUAAAGGCCUUCUAGCUUUGGCAGACUUUGUGCGAGGGACAGUGUGAAGAUAAAUGUCAGUUUGUCGAGAGAAAUCAAAUACAGAUGAGCAAGACUUUGGAAGCUGACAUGCUUGAUGGGCCCCUUCCAUAUGCAUUUGAGCUCAGGUAACCAUGACAGCUGUAACGUUAUUAAAGAUGACAGCAACGGCAGCUCCUUCUCCUCACUGCUUCCUUCAUCAGCCUCACCCAAUUCAAAUACCUCUUCCAAUGAUUUACAGCGGCGAACAGUCAACUCCUUUAGAUUUUUCAGAGCUCGCAGCAAUUUUGCUGGAAACGGAGCGCGAACAUCCCCACAUUUGUCCACAUGUACAAAUUCUAAUCUUUGUAAGAAGCCGUUUUGCUGUUCAUGGGCGGCCAAUCUUAUCAGAGAACAAUAAUAUAUUUUUUCACUCUCAUGAAAACAAUUUAUAUGAUGUAUAAAUAGGAGGAAAAAAUAGAAAAAACAGGAUUAAAUACUUCUUAGAGAUUACAAUUACAAUUUAUAUGAAUAAUAAUUAGAUUUUUGCGAAAAAAGGUUAAUACAACUCCUAAUAAUAUUUUUAUUUUAGUUAUAAAGUUACUAAAUUUUUAAAGAUAUUUUAAUUGAAUUAAAUAUUUGAACACAAAAUUUAUAUGAUGUAUAAAUAUUUGAAUUAAAAUUACGUACUUGUAGCUGUGCCAACCAAUUACCCACUUCUUCGUGGCCUUGAAUGGUUAAUUCUUGCAAAGGCAAUUGAGCAUCAAAAUUCCUUGGACCUAAAAAGCUGUAAUUUGAUCUGAGCCAAAGAGACAAUUCUCUUAGUUGAGGGAACUUGAUGAUGCCAUCUCUGUUACGUGACAAAGCGACUGGGAAGACAUAUUCCAGUUUAUCACAGAAAGAUAUGUUGAUAUUUUUUAAUUCUGGGAAGCAAGGAGACUCUGGAAUUAUUUCCCUUUCACCAUCCUCUUCUCUGAUAAUAUGCUUCAAUUCACCGCAUUCACUUAUGCGAAGGCUUUCU